CCCGCGACAGGACGGAAAGACCCCAUGGAGCUUUACUGUAGCUUGACGUUGGGUCUUGGUACUACAUGUACAGGAUAGGUGGGAGACUAUGAAGCAUGGACGCCAGUCUGUGUGGAGUCAACCUUGGGAUACCACCCUUGUAGUACUGGGAUCCUAACCAUAGGCCUUGAAUCAGGUCUUGGAACACCGUCAGGUGGGCAGUUUGACUGGGGCGGUCGCCUCCUAAAAGGUAACGGAGGCGUGCAAAGGUUCCCUCAGGCUGGUCGGACAUCAGUCGUAGAGUGUAAAGGCAUAAGGGAGCUUGACUGCGAGACCUACAAGUC
rnacentral:rRNA from 14 species